rnacentral:rRNA from 1 species
GGCCUAUCAGCUUGUUGGUGAGGUAAUGGCUCACCAAGGCGAUGACGGGUAGCCGGCCUGAGAGGGCGAUCGGCCACACUGGGACUGAGACACGGCCCAGACUCCUACGGGAGGCAGCAGUGGGGAAUAUUGCACAAUGGGCGCAAGCCUGAUGCAGCGACGCCGCGUGAGGGAUGACGGCCUUCGGGUUGUAAACCUCUUUCAGCAGGGAAGAAGCGAAAGUGACGGUACCUGCAGAAGAAGCACCGGCUAACUACGUGCCAGCAGCCGCGGUAAUACGUAGGGUGCGAGCGUUGUCCGGAAUUAUUGGGCGUAAAGAGCUUGUAGGCGGUUUGUCGCGUCUGCUGUGAAAAUCCGGGGCUCAACCCCGGACUUGCAGUGGGUACGGGCAGACUAGAGUGUGGUAGGGGAGACUGGAAUUCCUGGUGUAGCGGUGAAAUGCGCAGAUAUCAGGAGGAACACCGAUGGCGAAGGCAGGUCUCUGGGCCACUACUGACGCUGAGAAGCGAAAGCAUGGGGAGCGAACAGGAUUAGAUACCCUGGUAGUCCAUGCCGUAAACGUUGGGAACUAGGUGUGGGUCUCAUUCCACGAGGUCCGUGCCGCAGCUAACGCAUUAAGUUCCCCGCCUGGGGAGUACGGCCGCAAGGCUAAAACUCAAAGGAAUUGACGGGGGCCCGCACAAGCGGCGGAGCAUGUGGAUUAAUUCGAUGCAACGCGAAGAACCUUACCAAGGCUUGACAUAUACCGGAAACAUUCAGAGAUGGGUGCCCCGCAAGGUCGGUAUACAGGUGGUGCAUGGUUGUCGUCAGCUCGUGUCGUGAGAUGUUGGGUUAAGUCCCGCAACGAGCGCAACCCUCGUUCUAUGUUGCCAGCACGUGAUGGUGGGGACUCAUAGGAGACUGCCGGGGUCAACUCGGAGGAAGGUGGGGAUGAGGUCAAAUCAUCAUGCCCCUUAUGUCUUGGGCUUCACACAUGCUACAAUGGCCGGUACAAAGGGCUGCGAUACCGCGAGGUGGAGCGAAUCCCAAAAAACCGGUCUCAGUUCGGAUUGGGGUCUGCAACUCGACCCCAUGAAGUUGGAGUCGCUAGUAAUCGCAGAUCAGCAACGCUGCGGUGAAUACGUUCCCGGGCCUUGUACACACCGCCCGUCAAGUCACGAAAGUCGGUAACACCCGAAGCCGGUGGCCCAACCCU